AACGAACGCUGGCGGCAUGCCUAACACAUGCAAGUCGAACGAGACCUUCGGGUCUAGUGGCGCACGGGUGCGUAACGCGUGGGAACCUGCCCUUAGGUUCGGAAUAACUCCCCGAAAGGGGUGCUAAUACCGGAUAAUGUCUUCGGACCAAAGAUUUAUCGCCUUUGGAUGGGCCCGCGUUGGAUUAGCGAGUUGGUAGGGUAAAAGCCUACCAAGGCGACGAUCCAUAGCUGGUCUGAGAGGAUGAUCAGCCACACUGGGACUGAGACACGGCCCAGACUCCUACGGGAGGCAGCAGUGGGGAAUAUUGGACAAGGGGCGAAAGCCUGGUCCAGCAAUGCCGCGUGAGUGAUGAAGGCCUUAGGGUUGUAAAGCUCUUUUACCCGGGAUGAUAAUGACAGUACCGGGAGAAUAAGCACCGGCUAACUCCGUG
rnacentral:rRNA from 1 species